GCCCUUUUUCAUCCAAUUUAUAACAAUUUUAUCAUAAUUUUACAUAAAUUGCUACAAUUCUAGCCACAUUUAAUUCAAUUUAAAAGAUCCCAAUUCUUUUUUUUUCUUUGUAAUCUCAAUCAUGGAUCAAGAUCGGCCUACUCUUUCCAUUUAUACCAAGCUAAACCCUAAUUCCUCCAUUUUCAAUAAAACAGUCGACUCCCCUCUCUCUCUACCUUUUCUCUCUCUCUAAACUCAACUUCCACCAACCAUCGUUGUUCACCACUCUGGCCAACAAAAACACCAACGUUGUCGUCGUCCUCACUCCGGUGUGGACCUUCUUCGCCUAUCUCCCCCCACCACCGGCAAGGCAGCCACCCUAGCCACCAUCUCUCUCCCAACCAUCGCCAACAGCCCUCUCCGUUGCCACCAUCAACCUUCGCAUGCCGCCCCUCCUACUUCAAAACCCUCCAGCGUUUCCACUUUUCCGACCAAACGACUCCACCAGCAAACACCAGCAUCGGCUGCCUCCUUCAGCCACUCCAGCCGGCUACGCCGGCGAAUCUGCAACCGUUGACCCAUUUUUUCGGAAAGUGAUGGGUUCUCAAAAACCCAUCUACAGGUUUUACCAAAUAAAAUGAAAAAAGAGCUUAAUAAAGUGUGAUAGAUUUCUUGGGUCCGAUUCUCUGUCAUUUGUGUUGGUUUAUGUAUUAAGACUAUAACAUGUCAAAAGCCUUAAUUUGUAAUUGUACCGGUGACUUAUUAUUUGCUCGAGUUCGUUUAUUAUAUCAUAAUCGUUAUCCCUUCUUUUGUUUUUAGUGGGUUUGGGCUGUUUGAUUAUACUAUGAGUAUUAACUCAAUUCUAAAUCGAUUAAAAUUGUGGUAUUCGGCUAUUGUUGAUAAAAUAUGCUUCAAUAUGUGAAUUGAUUUGAUAUAGUAUAAUGAUUUUUCUCGAAUUUUAAUUUUUGAACUUUGACAAUUCCCUUUCUUCUCAUAUUUAUGGUAAACUACCUAUGUUAGGUCGAUUUGCUGAUUUUUUCUUUAUUUGGGGAUAAACAAAUUCUUCUUUUACUUUUUUAUUUGAGAUUAUUUGAUAAUAUUUUGUGUAAUUGAUUCACUAUGUUAAAUUUCUUUACCUGUUUGUAAAUAACAAACUGAUGAUAUAAUAUUUUAAUUGAUUUACUAUGGUAAUUAUGGAAAAAUUAAUCCAUAUAAUUAUGAGAUGGUCAUAAUUUUGGUAACCUUGUUUCCUGAUUCCCUUACCUUUUGAUAAGGGAUCUACACGAUUUGUUACAUAACUUUGAUACUUAUCUAUUUACGACAAUUGUGACAUGCUAAUUGAUUCUUUUUCCUUAAUCUUAUUGAAUUGAAAACUGUGAUUUGUGAUAAUUCAUUUAAUACCUUACUAGUUGUGUCUAAAGAUUUGAUUAAAUUUAUUUCUUUCCUUUUUAUGCUUAAGGAUGAUUUAUUCCAUACUACAUAAACAACCCCUCUUUUCAAUUAGAAAAAAACAUUCACAUUCCACCUUCUCUGCUUUUUACUCUCUAAUACAAAGGCAAAAAAAAGUUUUUAAUUCUUCAAGUCCUAUGAUACUACUCUGACAGAAGUAUUUGGCUUAUUUACACUGUUGCAAUUACUUUGUUUACAUCUUCCUUAUUAUUUCUUUGUCGCUAACUAGUAAGCCCCUACUUGAUGCAAUUAUAUUCUUAUGCAAUUAUAUUCUUUCUUUCAGUGAUAACUGUUUGUGUUGUGAAUAUCAUUGAAAAACAUAUCUAUGGGGUCAGUGUGAAAUAAUUGUUCAAUGCUUUCUUGUUAUACUUGCCUUACUGUUUUGGUGUACCAAACAGUGUAUGAGUUCUUCUUGUGCUUGCUUUGCUAUUUUUGUUGUAUUCAACAGGUGCCACUAACACGCAAUUCUAAAGAUUCGCCCUGGGAUAGGAAGGGAUGAUACCCACUUUUAACUUAGUCUAUUUCAUUAUUUUAUUAAUGUUGGUUGUAACACUGUAUAAACUUUAUUCUGUUGUAGUAAUAAACUUUGGGGACUACUCGGGGGCAGGGACUUACGUGCUCUAUGAAUAGUAUUGAUAAGCAUCAUUUAGGUUUUUUGUGUGUUACGUGCUACGUGGUUCAUUUAGGCGCACAAUCCUAAGAUUUAUUAACACAUGAAUUUUUUAGACACUUAAUCUACGGUUUAUUAAUUGAUGCACUUAGAAUUCUUAAUUUCAGGAUUUAACUAAAACCGACAUAUUAAAUAAAUUGACAUUAAGCAUAUUAAUAUAUUUUUUACCUUGUCAGCAUAUUAAUAUAUUUUUAGCAUGUCAGCACAUUAAAGUGACUUUAAUCAUGAUCUUUAGCAUGUUAGCAUAUUAAAUUAGAUUUAAGCAUGUUAAUGUAUUUUUAGCAUGUUAAGUAUAUUAAAUUAAAUUCAAGCGGGUUAAUAUAUUUUUCAGGAUGUUAAACAAUAGGUUUAAACAAUUUUCAGCAUAUUAAACAUUAGGCUUAAGCGAUUUUAAUAAGUCAUUGUAUGUUUUAGCAUGUUAAUACGAAUUUAAGCAUGUUAGUAUUUUGUAGCAUGUCAAAAAUUAAAUUCCUGCAUAUUAAUAUAUUUUUAGCAUGUUGAACGUUAGAAUUAAGCAUGUCAUUGUAUGUUUUAGCAUAUUAAUGCAAAAUCAAGCAUGUCAAUAUUUUUAGGGCAUGUUAACAUAAAAUUCCUGCGCAUUAACAUAUUUUUCAGCAUGUUAAAAUGGUAGAGUUAGGCAUUUUUCAGCAUGUUAAUUACCUUCCACAUGUUAAAAUUCCUUUUACCAUGUCAAUAUUAAAAUUUUAGUCUGUUAAACAUAAAAAUUUCUGCAUGUUAAUUCAUUUUCCAGUAUUUAAAUGCAUCUUUAGCAUGUUAAUGGACUUUAGAGGAUUUAAAAUGAAUGUCGGUAAUAAUUUUCAACAUGUAACUUUAACUUCCCGCACUGUCAUUAGCUUACAACACGUCUUGCACAAUGAAAUUCAUGAGCACAACUCUUUGGCGUAUUUACUUCAAUUUGACACGUUCUUUUAAAAAAUUGGCAACACAUUGUUUAGACAUGAAUAACAAUUAUAUUUUGUCAUAUUAAAUAAUUGUUGAACACUUAGAUAUUAUUCCUAUGGGUUAAUGACAUCAAAAUAAGUAAUUAUUUUGUCUUUGCAUGUUAAUCAAUUUAACCAAUUCAUAAUUAACCAAGAGGCAUCUUUGAGACCAUUAUGUGCUAUGUGACGUCCAAUGUGUUACGCGCUUUGAGUCUUAGGAAAACAUAGCUUUAUUUGUCUAGAUCACAAAUCUAAAUUAGCAAAGCUCAGUACUUCUUGGGUGAUAAGUGGGAGGAUAGGUAUUCUAAAGACGUUAGUUUUAUCCUUUUCUUAGAACGUCUUUAGAUUUGAAACUAGUAUGCCCCUACUCGAUGCAAUUACAUUCUUUGUUGCUUGUAUUGCUUUAUUUACAUCUUCCUUAUUAUUUCUUUGUCGCUAACUAGUAUGCCCCUACUCGAUGCAAUUAUAUUCUUUCUUUUGGUGAUAACUGUUUGUGUUGUAAAUAUCUUGAAAAACAAGUCUAUAGGGGUUAGUGUGAAAUAAUUGUUCUUUGCUUGCUUGCUAUACCUUGCCUUACUGUUUUGGUGUACCAGACCAUGUGUGGGUUCGUCUUGUGCUUGAUUUGCUAUUUUUGUUGUAUUCAACAGGUGCCACUAACAUGCAAUUCUAGAGAGUCAUCCGGGGAUGGGAAGGGAUGGUGCCGACUUUUAACUUAGUCUAUUUCAUUCUUUAAUUAAUGUUGGUCUGUAACAUUGUAUAAACUUUAUUCUGUUGUAGUAAUAAAAUUUGGGGACUGCUAGGGGAGCAGGGACUUACGUGCUUUAUGAAUAGUAUGGAUAAGCAAAACUUAGGUUUUAUGUGUGUUACAUGCUACGUGGAUCAUUUAGGCGAACAAUCCUAAGAUUUAUUAACAUAUGAAUCGUUUAGACACUUAAUCUACGGUUUAUUAAUUGAUCCGCUUAGAAUUCUUGAUUUCAGGAUUUAACUAAAAUCGACAUACUAAAUUAUAAUUGACAUUAAGCAUAUUAAUAUAUUUUUACCAUCUCAGCAUAUUAAUA
rnacentral:lncRNA from 1 species